GAUGAACGCUGGCGGCGUGCCUAAUACAUGCAAGUCGAGCGAACGGACGAGAAGCUUGCUUCUCUGAUGUUAGCGGCGGACGGGUGAGUAACACGUGGAUAACCUACCUAUAAGACUGGGAUAACUUCGGGAAACCGGAGCUAAUACCGGAUAAUAUUUUGAACCGCAUGGUUCAAAAGUGAAAGACGGUCUUGCUGUCACUUAUAGAUGGAUCCGCGCUGCAUUAGCUAGUUGGUAAGGUAACGGCUUACCAAGGCAACGAUGCAUAGCCGACCUGAGAGGGUGAUCGGCCACACUGGAACUGAGACACGGUCCAGACUCCUACGGGAGGCAGCAGUAGGGAAUCUUCCGCAAUGGGCGAAAGCCUGACGGAGCAACGCCGCGUGAGUGAUGAAGGUCUUCGGAUCGUAAAACUCUGUUAUUAGGGAAGAACAUAUGUGUAAGUAACUGUGCACAUCUUGACGGUACCUAAUCAGAAAGCCACGGCUAACUACGUGCCAGCAGCCGCGGUAAUACGUAGGUGGCAAGCGUUAUCCGGAAUUAUUGGGCGUAAAGCGCGCGUAGGCGGUUUUUUAAGUCUGAUGUGAAAGCCCACGGCUCAACCGUGGAGGGUCAUUGGAAACUGGAAAACUUGAGUGCAGAAGAGGAAAGUGGAAUUCCAUGUGUAGCGGUGAAAUGCGCAGAGAUAUGGAGGAACACCAGUGGCGAAGGCGACUUUCUGGUCUGUAACUGACGCUGAUGUGCGAAAGCGUGGGGAUCAAACAGGAUUAGAUACCCUGGUAGUCCACGCCGUAAACGAUGAGUGCUAAGUGUUAGGGGGUUUCCGCCCCUUAGUGCUGCAGCUAACGCAUUAAGCACUCCGCCUGGGGAGUACGACCGCAAGGUUGAAACUCAAAGGAAUUGACGGGGACCCGCACAAGCGGUGGAGCAUGUGGUUUAAUUCGAAGCAACGCGAAGAACCUUACCAAAUCUUGACAUCCUUUGACAACUCUAGAGAUAGAGCUUUCCCCUUCGGGGGACAAAGUGACAGGUGGUGCAUGGUUGUCGUCAGCUCGUGUCGUGAGAUGUUGGGUUAAGUCCCGCAACGAGCGCAACCCUUAAGCUUAGUUGCCAUCAUUAAGUUGGGCACUCUAAGUUGACUGCCGGUGACAAACCGGAGGAAGGUGGGGAUGACGUCAAAUCAUCAUACCCCUUAUGAUUUGGGCUACACACGUGCUACAAUGGACAAUACAAAGGGCAGCGAAACCGCGAGGUCAAGCAAAUCCCAUAAAGUUGUUCUCAGUUCGGAUUGUAGUCUGCAACUCGACUACAUGAAGCUGGAAUCGCUAGUAAUCGUAGAUCAGCAUGCUACGGUGAAUACGUUCCCGGGUCU
rnacentral:rRNA from 1 species